UUCAGUAUUUUCAGAUAACUCCAUGACAGCAUAAAAUAUUCAGGAACAAGUUUCUUCAAAAAAGUGAUCACCAACUGUACACAGGAGAGAUUGGGCACGGACAAGUGACUUCUGUUCAUCUAGGUGAGGCCAUGUCAUUAAUUCUGAACAGAAGAAUGUGAGAUAGGAUGCCAUACGUCACUUCCAGGCCAAGGAGCCAGUGUCUUUCUUUCUGUGGACUGCCAUGUGACCAUCAGGCAACUCUUCAUCUUGUAAAUUGUCCUGGCCGGAGCUCCUAAAACCUUUGUAAUUUCCUGAGUGGUGAGGGAUAACAGGAACAUCUUACACAGAGCUCCUCAAUCCUAUUAAAUUUCAUGAGUGAUAGGAUCGUCUUUUGUUCUAAUGAGAUGACUCAAUAGUCUUCUGGAUGAGGGGCUGAUUAGCAGAAAGAUCAGAUUUGAUUAGAAGCUUAUGGGCAGCCUGGGUGGCUCAGCAGUUUAGCGCUUGCCUUUGGCCCAGGGCAUGAUCCUGGAGUCCCGGGAUGGAGUCCCACGUCGGGCUCCCUGCAUGGAACCUGCUUCUCCCUCUGCCUGUGUCUCUGCCUCUUUCUCUCUGGAUCUCUCAUGAAUAAAUAAAUAAAAUAUUAAAAAAAAAAAAAGCUUAUAACUUUCAGCUCCAUCUCCCAUACUCCAGGAGGGGUGGAGGAGCUAGGGAUUAAGUUAAUAAUCGAUCAUGCCUAUGUGGUGAAGCCUCCUCCAUAACAAUUUCUAAAGUACAGGGUUUGCUGGGAUUCUAGGUUGGUGAACACAUUGCUGAGCUAGGCGAUGGGUGUAGCCUCAACUCCAAGGAUAGCAGAUCCUGAACUUCUGGGCCUCACCCUCUCUGUGUCUUCAUCUGUAUCAUUUACCAUAUCCUUUAUUACAUAAUAAACUGGUAAAUAUAAGUAAGUACUUGCCUGAAUUCUGUGAGCCAUCCUAGUGAAUUAUUGAA